GAAUCAGAUGAUGAGAUUGGAUUAAAAAUUUCUCACGACGGUCGUCUGAGACACUGUCAAAUCUGAUGUAUUUAUCCAAUGUUUCUGAUGAUU
rnacentral:snoRNA from 1 species